rnacentral:rRNA from 1 species
UCACUGCUAUUGGGAUUCGACUAAGCCAUGCGAGUCGAGAGGGUUCGGCCCUCGGCUGACGGCUUAGUAACACGUGGAUAAUCUGCCCUUAGGUGGAGGAUAAUCUCGGGAAACUGAGAAUAAUACUCCAUAGGUCUAAGAUGCUGGAAUGCACCUAGGCUCAAAACUCCGGUGCCUAAGGAUGAGUCUGCGGACUAUCAGGUUGUAGUCAGGGUAAUGACCUGACUAGCCUACGACGGAUACGGGUUGUGAGAGCAAUAACCCGGAGAUGAUAUCUGAGACACGAUAUCAGGCCCUACGGGGCGCAGCAGGCGCGAAAACUUCACAAUGUGCGAAAGCACGAUGAGGGAAUCCCAAGUGCUUGCACGUAAGUGUAAGCUGUUUCUUUGUUUAAAACGCAUUGAGAGUAAGAGCUGGGUAAGACGGGUGCCAGCCGCCGCGGUAAUACCUGCAGCUCAAGUGGUGGCCGCUAUUAUUGGGCCUAAAACGUCCGUAGCCGGUUUAUUAAAUGCCUGGGUAAAUCGUGUAGCUUAACUAUACGAAUUCCGGGUAGACUGAUAAACUUGAGAUCGGGAGAAGUUAGAGGUACUCCUGGGGUAGAGGUGAAAUUCUGUAAUCCUAGGGGGACCACCAGUGGCGAAGGCGUCUGACUAGAACGGGUCUGACGGUGAGGGACGAAGCCCUGGGGCGCGAACCGGAUUAGAUACCCGGGUAGUCCAGGGUGUAAACGCUGCUUGCUUGAUGUUAGUCGGGCUCCGAGCCCGAUUAGUGUCGGAGAGAAGUUGUUAAGCAAGCUGCCUGGGAAGUACGGUCGCAAGACUGAAAC